UAAGACAAGAAACCCCUGUGGAACUUUAAUUAAUUAAAACUCCAAUAACCGAACUUUAAGGGUUAACCCAGUUUUUAAUGGAGUAACAAUUUUGGUUGGGGUGACCCUGGAGAAUAAAACUUAGUGAUAAGGGCGCAGUUCUACUCUGGAGUUUAACAAUAGGGUUAAUGACCUCGAUGCUGGAUCAGGACCCCCCAACAUUAUAACUGCUAUGAAUGGUUUGUUUGUUCAACAGUUAAAGUCCUACGUGACUUGAGUUCAGACCGGGGCAAUCCUGGUCCCUCUCUAUCUG
rnacentral:ncRNA from 1 species